CGAUAUGGCCAUGCCACCCUGAAUGUGCCCAAUCUUGUCUGAUCUCCGAAGCUAAGCAGGGGCGGGCCUGGUUAGUACUUGGAUGGGAGACCACCUUGGUAUACCAGGUGCUGUAGGCA
rnacentral:rRNA from 1 species